GGUCUCGUAGUUCAAUGGACAGAAUGGAAGAUUCCGGUUCUUUUGAUGUGGGUUCGAUUCCCGCCGGGACUA
rnacentral:tRNA from 1 species